AAAAAAAAAGGAUCAAAAUAAAAUCUUCCGUAAGCAGAAAACAGAAGGUCUCUCAGGCGGAUCCUUUUACAGACUAAGAGUGCAUUGAUUGGUUCAUAUGAAUAUAAACGCAUCUAAUUAGAUGGUAGGAUCCAUCGUGGUCCAUCCUCUCUCCUCUGGUCCGGAAUGAUGGAUCAAUCUACCCCUGUUCCGCAAAUUGCGGACCAGGAUCCGUGCUUAGUCUCUCUUGCCCCGGCUUCGUGUUCAACGCCACUCCUCUCUCAGCAAGUGGUUCUCCGGCGACAUAUAGAAGGAAUUCCAGAUGCUCCUCCGACCGAUGGUGCAGAUCUGGAGGUGGAUCCAUUGGUGGCGGAGUCCGAGGUGAUAGGAGGGGGAACGAAGAACUGCGAGGAAAAAAGAUUGGAACUGGAUGGACUUAGCAUCAGGAUCAGCGUGCCUGCUACUCUUAG